AAAGUGACGGUACCUGCAGAAAAAGCACCGGCUAACUACGUGCCAGCAGCCGCGGUAAUACGUAGGGUGCAAGCGUUAUCCGGAAUUAUUGGGCGUAAAGAGCUCGUAGGCGGUUUGUCGCGUCUGCUGUGAAAUCCCGAGGCUCAACCUCGGGCCUGCAGUGGGUACGGGCAGACUAGAGUGCGGUAGGGGAGAUUGGAAUUCCUGGUGUAGCGGUGGAAUGCGCAGAUAUCAGGAGGAACACCGAUGGCGAAGGCAGAUCUCUGGGCCGUAACUGACGCUGAGGAGCGAAAGCGUGGGGAGCAAACAGGAUUAGAUACCCUGGUAGUCCACCCCGUAAACGUUGGGAACUAGAUGUGGGGUCCUUUCCACGGAUUCCGUGACGCAGCUAACGCACUCAGUA
rnacentral:rRNA from 1 species